rnacentral:rRNA from 1 species
GUGGGGAAUAUUCCGCAAUGGACGAAAGUCUGACGGAGCAACGCCGCGUGAGUGAUGAAGGUUUUCGGACUGUAAAGCUCUGUUGUUUAGGACGAAAGUGCCUGUUGCAAAUAGUUACAGGUAUUGACGGUACUGAACGAGGAAGCCACGGCUAACUACGUGCCAGCAGCCGCGGUAAUACGUAGGUGGCAAGCGUUGUCCGGAAUUAUUGGGCGUAAAGAGCAUGUAGGCGGGAAUCUAAGUCUGUUGUGAAAAUGCGGGGCUCAACCCCGUAUUGCGAUGGAAACUGGGUUUCUUGAGUGCAGGAGAGGAAAGGGGAAUUCCCAGUGUAGCGGUGAAAUGCGUAGAUAUUGGGAGGAACACCAGUGGCGAAGGCGGCUUCCUGGCACAAUACUGACGCUCAUGUGCGAAAGCUAGGGCAGCGAACGGGAUUAGAAACCCGGGUAGUCC